rnacentral:rRNA from 1 species
GGCCUACCAUGGUGGUAACGGGUAACGGGGUGUUAGGGCACGACACCGGAGAGGGAGCCUGAGAAACGGCUACCACAUCCAAGGAUGGCAGCAGGCGCGCAAAUUACCCAAUCCCGACACGGGGAGGUAGUGACAAUAAAUAACAAUACGGGGUUCUUUAGGAUCUCGUAAUUGGAAUGAGUACAAUUUAAAUCUCUUAACGAGGAACAAUUGGAGGGCAAGUCUGGUGCCAGCAGCCGCGGUAAUUCCAGCUCCAAUAGCGUAUAUUAAAGUUGUUGCAGUUAAAAAGCUCGUAGUUGAAUUUCGGGGUUAGUAAGUUGGUCAUGCCUUUGGUAUGCACUGGCUUUACUGAUUCCUCCUUCUUGACGAACCAUGAUGUCAUUAAUUUGGUGUUGCGGGAAAUCAGGACUGUUACUUUGAAAAAAUUAGAGUGUUUAAAGCAGGCUAACGCUUGAAUACAUUAGCAUGGAAUAAUGAAAUAGGACGUUAAUCCUAUUUUGUUGGUUUCUAGGAUCGACGUAAUGAUUAAUAGGGAUAGUUGGGGGCAUUAGUAUUCAAUUGUCAGAGGUGAAAUUCUUGGAUUUAUUGAAGACUAACUACUGCGAAAGCAUUUGCCAAGGAUGUUUUCAUUAAUCAAGAACGAAAGUUAGAGGAUCGAAGACGAUCAGAUACCGUCGUAGUCUUAACCAUAAACUAUGNCGACUAGGGAUCGGAUGAUGUUAAUUUUAUAAUGACUCAUUCGGCGCCUUACG